rnacentral:misc_RNA from 1 species
UAUGAAUUCCACUUCCUUUAUCAGACCCGCUAAUCAAUCCUUCUCUUCUCAGCUUCUCUUCCUUGGAUUUUCUACAAAAAAUAAUCCAAGAAUUCACCUCCAAAGCUAUACAAGCACCCACCAAUGUAGACAAGCACAAGCAAUAUCCCAACUUAGGAUAAGACCCGCUCUCUCCCAUUACUUCAAAUCCUUGAAAAACAUUCACAACUCCAAGCACCACACAAGCAUACCCUACAAAAUGGUGGUAAGAUUUCCAAUACUUUCUAUACUUGUUUGUAGUCUUUGGCCUAAACAGUAGUGCCAGCGUUUGUAGAGCCCCCAAGCAGAACGUUGCGAACCCAAGCUUCCUAUGCAGGCUAUAAACAACUCCUGGUGAUAGUUCUCCAAGCCUGAUUCCUAUAGCAAAUCCCACAGUUCCUAAAAAGAAUCCACUCAGUUGUAAUCCUGCAUGAGCAUAGAACCAAGCUGGCCCUAGUGCUUGUAUGUGUCGCAAAUAUCGUGCAGUGACUGCCCCAAUUGGCAGUAAAAUACCCCAUGACACAGCGUUUAUGAUUCCAUGUACUAUUUUCAAUGUUUUUCUGUCGUCUUUAUGGGCAGAAUUGAAGCCUGACAAGACGUCAAUGGUGGCCAUGGAAGAUAGGUCAUUGGAAGUUGUUGGAUGGAUGGUUGGGGAGUAACCUUGAACAUAUAAACCACGGUUCCAUACAAAGUGAAUUUUGGUUUUAUUCGGCGCCACUUUUAAUGUUGCAUAUAUUUGGAUUGCCGCACCGUUGUGUAUGGUGGCCAUUUUGCCGCCGUAGAGGGUGGCGGAGGAGGAGAGGAGGUUAAUAUCUAGAGGGCGAGAGAGAAGUGGUGAUUUUUGCAGCUUUACAGUUGGGUCCAAAAUGUAAGGUAAUACUACUAGUUGGCCAGAAUUUGGGUCUGGAAAGGCGAUUAGAGCACGGGUACCUAUCAUAUCUGAAGAUGUAGGAUUAAUGCCCCAUCCAACCCAUCCAGAAGGCGAAAUAAAGGUCCCAAAGAAAACAAGGUCUAGAGUGGAAUUGUGGGUAUGAAAGGUCCAAGCCAUUGAGGCUUGCUGGGUAGGAAGCGUCAUGCAUCUUUCAAAGGGUUUAGAGGAUGUGAUGGUGGUGGUGCAGUGAGCAGAAAAUGCAGGGUUGACAUUGGAGAAGAAGAGAAAGAACAGAAACAGGAGAAGCAUGGUGGUGGAAGGAAGACAAAGGAAUAGAAAGGGCAUGGAAGAGAA